rnacentral:rRNA from 1 species
AUUGAACGCUGUCGGCAGGCCUAACACAUGCAAGUCGAUCGAGUGUCGGACGGGUGAGUAAUUUCUGGUAAACUGCCUGAUGGAGGGGGAUAACUACUGUAAACGCUAGCUAAUACCGCAUACCAUCAGAUGUUCCCAGAUGGGAUUAGCUUGUUGGUGGGGUAACGACUCACCAAGGCGACGAUCCCUAGCUGGUCUGAGGGAUGACCAGCCACACUGGAACUGAGACACGGUCCAGACUCCGACGGGAGGCAGCAGUGGGGAAUAUUGCACAAUGGGCGCAAGCCUGAUGCAGCCAUGCCGCGUGUAUGAAGAAGGCCUUCGGGUUGUAAAGUACUUUCAGCGGGGAGGCGUUACCCGCAGAAGAAGCACCGGCUAACUCCGUGCCAGCAGCCGCGGUAAUAC